CUACCCAAAGUGCUUAUGUAGUUAUGAGUAAUUAAAGUGAGAACUUUAAAAAUAUCUUUGGUUUCUACUCAUAUUCAUGCAGAUCUUGGAAAAAUGUUUUUUUCAUAUUUGACAACAGUAUCAGCUCCACUUUAGAAAUUUCGAGUAAUCGGGUAAGGAUAAAAAAAAAAAAAAAUGGAGAAACAGCUGAAUAGAAACAUUUGCAAGUGGACUUGAGUUCUACACAUGUAGUUCUCACCUUCAUUUAGCCCCCUCAGAACAGAACUUCAGGAAUUUAGCUCUGGAGCCAAAAUUAUUUUAGCCUAACUUUGAGAAUAAUAUCAACUUAAGACUCUCUGGGGUUGGAAGAGAGUUGAAAAAGAGUUUCAGUUUUUGUUGUUUUUUAAUUUUCCUCAUUUUCCUUUUUGUAAACUGCAUUAUGUUAGAGUCAGUCUAGGAUCCCGAUAUGUUUUCCAUUGUUGUCACCAUGACGUGCAUUGUAAAGCUUUGUUUGUUUAAUGUUGGCAUAGACUCUUUUGUACAUAUUUAUUUAUUUGUGUUUAUAAAUGUGAGCUUGUUUUAUAUCUUACCUUUAUAUUGCCUGGCUUUGUUAUUUUAAUUAACUUUCUAUCAGAGAGACUGUAUAUAUUUUUUUCUAAAUACUUUGUGAAAGAGUUUUCUGUAGCAGUAUCUCUGAAUUUGAUGAAUAAAAAAUGACUGUGAGUGCAGAUUAGAAUAAGCAGUAAAGAAGCUACUAUAGCUGAUUUGCCGUUUUACUUAAAUGGAAAAUGUUUUUCAAAUAAAUGCCUAUGUUGUUUGUGAUCC
rnacentral:lncRNA from 1 species